UACGAAGGGUGCAAGCGUUAAUCGGAAUUACUGGGCGUAAAGGGUGCGUAGGCGGUUCGUUAAGUCUGUCGUGAAAUCCCCGGGCUCAACCUGGGAAUGGCGAUGGAUACUGGCGAGCUAGAGUGUGUCAGAGGAUGGUGGAAUUCCCGGUGUAGCGGUGAAAUGCGUAGAGAUCGGGAGGAACAUCAGUGGCGAAGGCGGCCAUCUGGGACAACACUGACGCUGAAGCACGUAAGCGUGGGGAGCAAACAGG
rnacentral:rRNA from 1 species